rnacentral:snRNA from 1 species
AUAAACUAUUUUGUUAAAAAAUUGUUCUUAUCAGUUUAUAAUAUCUGAUACGUCCCCAUGCGGUGACUAUACAUAUUAAAUGGAUUUUUUUUCGAACAGGGAGUGCGGACUAUACAUGGGCUUGCUCCGUCCGCUCCACGCAUCGACCCGGUAUGUGGCAGUACUCCGGGAAACGGGUGCAACACUU